rnacentral:rRNA from 1 species
GUAAUACAUCGGAACGUACCCAGUAGCGGGGGAUAGCCCGGCGAAAGCCGGAUUAAUACCGCAUACGCCCUACGGGGGAAAGGGGGGGAUCUUCGGACCUCUCACUAUUGGAGCGGCCGAUGGCUGAUUAGCUAGUUGGUGGGGUAAAGGCCUACCAAGGCGACGAUCAGUAGCUGGUCUGAGAGGACGACCAGCCACACUGGGACUGAGACACGGCCCAGACUCCUACGGGAGGCAGCAGUGGGGAAUUUUGGACAAUGGGCGAAAGCCUGAUCCAGCAAUGCCGCGUGUGCGAAGAAGGCCUUCGGGUUGUAAAGCACUUUUGUCAGGAAAGAAAGGGUCUGGGCUAAUACCCCGGGCCAUUGACGGUACCUGAAGAAUAAGCACCGGCUAACUACGUGCCAGCAGCCGCGGUAAUACGUAGGGUGCAAGCGUUAAUCGGAAUUACUGGGCGUAAAGCGUGCGCAGGUGGUUUGUUAAGACAGUUGUGAAAUCCCCGGGCUCAACCUGGGAACUGCAAUUGUGACUGGCAGACUAGAGUUUGGCAGAGGGGGGUGGAAUUCCUGGUGUAGCAGUGAAAUGCGUAGAUAUCAGGAGGAACACCGAUGGCGAAGGCAGCCCCCUGGGCCAUGACUGACACUCAUGCA